UAUGUUUCGGGCGUGUUGGACCGAUCGAAACCGGUUAUCUGGCUCCUCUGUAGCCCCACGUGUUGUUUCGCCCAGCUGAAUCCGAGCCCGUGUUGCUUUUCUUUCCUCUCGGCCAACCAAAUCUGCGACAUUUGCCCGUUGUGGCGUAAGAGUUAUCCGCUUGUCGUGAUUCGUUGGGUCCUUUAAUGGUUGAUGUUCGGAAUAAUUAACCCACGAAUACAGGUAUCCACGGACUACAUUUUAAAUUUAACUUCAAACCUUCUUUCAUUUUCUAAUGAAAUUUUAGUAGACCCGGAGAAUGAUUCACCCUACCAGGGAUAGUAAGGUGAUUGCGAAGGAACUUAUCUUUUACAUCCUACGUAGUUUAACAUUUUUUCUGUUUUAAUCCUAGAUGAUAGUUACGUAAUCGUGUGCCUGGUUCUCGGAUUUGAGCACUGUUACAUACUUAAUUUUUGUACGUAUGGAUCACAAUCGACCAGGAAUAAAAUAGGAGGAGUGUAAACUUCAUUUAAUGUUUCAAGUGCUAAGUUUUUGCGUAAAUAUACGUUCAAUAUACGUACCGGUACAUCUUCCUAACUGCAAACACCCUUGAACAGGGUCCUUAUCUUGUCGGACACGAUUUUUCACGGGUCCGAGUGUUAGCACUUGAAGAGUUUCAUCGGCGAGCAAACCGUGUUUACAGCCUUAUGUGCGAAUUGAUUCGUCAGAGUGUGCAGAGUGACACAGGGGGUCAGUCUGAAGUAUUUG